rnacentral:tRNA from 1 species
GUAAACAUAGUUUACACAAAACAUUAGACUGUGAAUCUAAAAUCAGGGUCCCACAGAUCCUUGUUUACC